CACGGCGCACGGGUGCGUAACACGUGGGCAAUCUGCCCUCCGAUGGGGAAUACCCCCGCGAAAGCGGGACUAAUUCCGCAUAACAUUCCUUGGAUUAACUUUCGAGGAUUCAAAGCAGCAAUGCGUCGGAGGAGGAGCCCGCGCCCGAUUAGCUAGUUGGUGAGGUAACGGCUCACCAAGGCAAUGAUCGGUAGCUGGUCUGAGAGGAUGGCCAGCCACACUGGAACUGAGACACGGUCCAGACUCCUACGGGAGGCAGCAGUGGGGAAUCUUGCACAAUGGGCGAAAGCCUGAUGCAGCGACGCCGCGUGGGGGAUGAAGCUUUUCGGAGUGUAAACCCCUUUCGACUGGGACGAAUGCCUCGCAAGAGGAGUGACGGUACCAGUAUAAGAAGCCCCGGCUAACUACGUGCCAGCAGCCGCGGUAAGACGUAGGGGGCCAGCGUUGUUCGGAAUUACUGGGUGUAAAGGGUUCGUAGGCGGUGUGGCAAGUCGGGAGUGAAAUCUCUGGGCUCAACCCAGAGACUGCUUCCGAAACUGCUGUGCUUGAGUGUGAGAGAGGCUCGUGGAAUUGCAGGUGUAGCGGUGAAAUGCGUAGAUAUCUGCAGGAACACCCGUGGCGAAAGCGGCGAGCUGGAUCACUAC
rnacentral:rRNA from 1 species